GGAUAACUACUGGAAACGGUAGCUAAUACCGCAUAACGUCGCAAGACCAAAGAGGGGGACCUUCGGGCCUCUUGCCAUCAGAUGUGCCCAGAUGGGAUUAGCUAGUAGGUGGGGUAACGGCUCACCUAGGCGACGAUCCCUAGCUGGUCUGAGAGGAUGACCAGCCACACUGGAACUGAGACACGGUCCAGACUCCUACGGGAGGCAGCAGUGGGGAAUAUUGCACAAUGGGCGCAAGCCUGAUGCAGCCAUGCCGCGUGUAUGAAGAAGGCCUUCGGGUUGUAAAGUACUUUCAGCGGGGAGGAAGGUGUUGUGGUUAAUAACCGCAGCAUUUGACGUUACCCGCAAAAGAAUCUCCGGCUAACUCCGUGCCUGCUGCCGCUGUAAUACCGAGGGUGCGU
rnacentral:rRNA from 1 species